UUUCACGAUUAUACACAGUAUGUCUUAUGUAAUAUCAAUAGAUACAUGUACAUGCUUAAUAUUCACGGGGACUAGCAAAGAU